CUUCCACUAGAUCAGGUCUCUCCAAGACCCUUGGACACUUCCAGGGAUGGGGGAGUCCACAAAAUAGACCUCUCACUGUGGACUUCAAGAAAAGUGGGAAGUGAUGCCCAAGUCCUUAAAGGGUGGCUACAAGCAGCAGGAGGAGGAAGGAUCUCUCUUCACAAGGAGAAGACACAUAAAGCCUCCAAGUUACAACAGGGGAGGUUUUGUUUCAAUAUAAGAAAGAAAUUCCUUAAGUGACAAGAGUGAGCACCAAGGUGGAUUGAGGACUUUCCUCUGCCAAGACCGUCCCAGUAGAUGAGAUGGUGAGAGGGUUGGUGGGAAACAUUCCGCACAGAAC